GAUGAACGCUGACAGAAUGCUUAACACAUGCAAGUCAACUUGAACUUCGGUUUGGGUGGCGGACGGGUGAGUAACGCGUAAAGAACUUGCCUCACGGCUAGGGACAACAUUUGGAAACGAAUGCUAAUACCUGAUAUUAUGAUUUUAGGGCAUCCUAGAAUUAUGAAAGCUAUAUGCGCUGUGAGAGAGCUUUGCGUCCCAUUAGCUAGUUGGAGAGGUAACGGCUCACCAAGGCGAUGAUGGGUAGCCGGCCUGAGAGGGUGAACGGCCACAAGGGGACUGAGACACGGCCCUUACUCCUACGGGAGGCAGCAGUGGGGAAUAUUGGACAAUGGACCAAGAGUCUGAUCCAGCAAUUCUGUGUGCACGAUGAAGUUUUUCGGAAUGUAAAGUGCUUUCAGUUGGGAAGAAAAAAAUGACGGUACCAACAGAAGAAGUGACGGCUAAAUACGUG
rnacentral:rRNA from 1 species